rnacentral:rRNA from 1 species
UACGUAGGGGGGCCAGCGUUGUCCGGAAUCAUUGGGCGUAAAGCGCGUGUAGGCGGUUCGGUAAGUCCGCUGUGAAAGUCGGGGGCUCAACCCUCGGAUGCCGGUGGAUACUGUCGGACUAGAGUACGGAAGAGGCGAGUGGAAUUCCCGGUGUAGCGGUGAAAUGCGCAGAUAUCGGGAGGAACACCAAUUGCGAAGGCAGCUCGCUGGGACGUUACUGACGCUGAGACGCGAAAGCGUGGGGAGCAAACAGGG